AAAGCACUCAUGUUUGAGUCAGGAAACUUGGGUUCUGGACUUGGACUUUGGGCUUCUCUUUAUUUUUCUCUGAGCCAUUUAUUCUUGUCCAAAGUGAGGAGUUGGCCCAAAACACUUCUAUGUGCCGAUUUCCCUCUAAAAGCCUGUGAUUACUGAUUAUGACCACUGCAGGGACAGUUUUUCAAAACUGUGUCCAACGAUUACAUUUAUAUUGAUUCUGUGUCCGUUGGAGUCUCGUCCUGAGACACAGGUGAAGCAGGACGCAGGGCAGUGAUAAUGACCAGCAGACACACAGGGUCACUCGGGUUACCCAGAGCUCAGUGCAGAGGUCAGCUCCGUCCUCUCAUGUUGCCACUCAGGACCAUUUGUCAGUGACUGAUUGCUGUUUUCACAUCCCAGGAUUAUCACCUGCUCUCUUUUCUACCUAAAAUGUCUACACCAUCGCUCUUCUCCAACUUUUCCUUUCUGGUCCUAUCAGAGAAGGGAGCAGAAUUCCAUGGCAGAGACCAUGGGCUUAGAAAUUGAGCUUCACAAGUUUAAGUCCUGCUUAUAUCCCUUACUUGCUGUGAGCACCUCAUUUCCCUCUGUGAGCUUCCAGUUUCCACAUCUGUAGAAUGGCCACAGUGUCGGUACCUGCUUCAGAUAAUUGUGGUGGGUUGGGAAGAUGAUAAUUCACAGUGCCCAGAAGAUAGUAAAUAUAGUAAGUGAAUUAUUUUCUCCUCCUCCCUGUGUUCUCCCUGCUACCCCUUGUUAUCUUUCAUCUCUCAAAGUGGAGCUAAGGGAUCAUACACUUCAGAAAAAUAUCUCCUGCCCUUGUCCCUUCCCAGAGAAUCAUGUCUGUAAUUUUAUCUUGCCUUAGUGUAUUCUUCCCUAUGCUGUCGUCUCACCCCAUCUCUGCAAGAGACAUCUAGAGGCCAAUCAUUAUAGACACUUCAUUAAUGUGUCCCAAGCAAACGGCAUACAGCAGGUAUUCAAUAAAUUUCUGCUAGCCUUUACUGCCAAAGGGCAUGUUGAAAGGAAGAAUGCUGGAAGAGGUAAGGAAGACAGAGGAACAGAAGAAGGAAAAAUCCCAUAUGUCAUGCCAGCUCCUCAAAAAAGAUAUUAUUUUAGAAUGUAAAGGAAAAAUAGAGUUAAAGAAGAAACCAUUAAGUGGCCCAAAUUGCAUUACUAGUUCUCUACUCUGGGAUACACAGCCAUCGUUCAGUCUUUAGUAUAAGCAAUUCUUGAUUGACUAGAAGUGUUUAGCAAAAGAAGCAAAAUUUACCAUGUGUAUUUACAGUCUGAAUGGCUCGGCUCCUCUAGCUUUGCUUACAUCAAAGAAAGGGGGAAAAUGCACCCAGACAGUCUAAUUUCUUUAAGUCAGAUGAGUCACAGAAGCAAACAUUGGAAGAUGUGCUACAAAAUAAUCAAUCAUCAGAUAAAACUGUUUUGGAUGUAGCAGAUGUAUAAAAUAAAGUGGGACUAUUUUUUAAGCUAAAAGUUUGCAUAUUUACAGAAGAUUCUGGUAGAAUAGAGAAAUUUAGCCAGACCAUCACUUAAAAGGAGGUGUGGUUUCAAAGCAGAAAGGCAGCUGAAAAUAGCAGUCAGUUCUCUUCAUCCCUUAACUCCUACCCCUAUUCCUCAUCCUCAUGCCCAGCACCCAGUAAUGAUUUUUCAUGAUAAACACCUUUAAUUUUUAUUUUAUUAACAAUGUGGUUUCUAGAACACCUGAAUAUUGUAUUUGGCCAAUAUCUGCUUUAAAUAUCAUGUCAUAAAUAGAAAACAUCAGUAGCAGUAGGAUUAGCAGCAUGCUGAUCAGUUACUAGAAGGGAGGUGCCUCCCCACAGGUGACGGUCCGUAUCAUUACACCAAUUUUGCAAGUGGAGAAAUUCCUAUGCUAGAUGAGAAGCUGUAUGGCCACGUUCACACAUCUUAGACAUUAUGAAGUUUAGGUGUCCAGACGGAGCUUUCUCAUUUCAGUGUGCUCUGGCAUUUCCCAAAUGUAAACUGACAAGCAUCCAAUCUGAUGAAAUGAUGACAUCCCAUAAAAUAGAUGUUUAAUGUCUUAUAAUGUAUCUAUUUCCUGAAGCCAAUUGUAUGAAAAUCUAUCAAACUGCCUGUCUCCAAAUGUCCACAUGCUGGAGCAUCACCAUCUUCGCAUACACUCUUCUCCCUGCUUAAAACAAGCUUCCUCCUUCAUGUUCUGUCUAUUUCCAGUUUAUUUUUCAAAAAUGCCAUGCUCUUAGGUGAAAUACCUAAUGUAGAUGACAGGUUGAUGGGUGCAGCAAACCACCAUGGCACAUGUAUACCUAUGUAACAAACCUUCACGUUCUACACAUGUACCCCAGAAAUUAAAGUAUAAUAACAAAAAUAAAAAUUUUAAAAAAUCUAAUUUUACUUCUUUUGUACAUUAUUCAUAUAGUAACUUGUACUAAGGGAUUUAUUAAUGUAACUUCAUAUGUAUGUAUUUAGUCAUACAUGGAAAUAUAAAUACAGAUAGGCAACAGCUAAAAAAGAAAAAAACUCCAUGCUCACGUGUCCUAUCCUCCAGACAUAUUUUCCUAGCACUCCUUGUUUCUCCCUCCCCUCAUCACCAGUAGGGAAUUAGUAUCCUUGCUUUGUGUCCUGUGCACUCUGUGCCCAAUUCUGAGAGCGUACUUGACCCAUCUUCAUUUUUUUUUCUCAAAGACUCUUAUUUCUUUAAGGGUGGAAGCCAUAUUUUAUACGUCAUUAAAUCCGCAGAACCUAUCUGUGAUAGUUAAUAUUGAGUAUCAAGUUGAUUGAAUUGAAAGAAACAAAAUAUUGAUCCUGGGUGUGUCUGUGAGGGUGUUGCCAAAGAAGAUGAGCAUUUCAGUCAGUGGACUGGGAAAGGCAGACCCACCCUCAAUCUGGGUGGGCACAAUCUAAUCAGCUGCCAGUUCAGUCAGAAUAAAAGCAGGCAGAAGAAUGCGGAAAGCCUAAACUGGCUAAGUCUUCUGGCCUCCAUCUUUUCCCCAUGCUGGAUGCUUCUUGCCCUUGAACAUCAGACUCCAAGUUCUUUAGCUUUUCGACUCUUAGACUUAACACCGGUGAUUUGCCCAGGGCUCUUGGCCUUUGUCCACAAACUAAAGGCUGCACUAUCGGCUUCAUCCCUACUUUUGAGGUUUUGGGACUCGGACUUGCUUCCUGGCUCCUCAGUUUGCAGACGGCCUUUUGUGGGACUUCGUCUUGUGGUCAUGUGAGUCAAUACUCCUUAAUAAACUCUCUUUCAUAUAUACAUCACCCUAUUAGUCCUGUCGCUCUAGAGAACCCUAAUACAUUAUCACAUCCCUUAGCAAAUAGACUGUUAGUGCAUGUAAGAAUAAAAUAAGAAUAAUUGCUAACAUUUAUUUAGUGCCUACAUGGGAUAGGCAUCAUUCUAAGCAGUUUACAUGUAGACUUAUUUAAUUCUCAUAAUACACAUGUUGAAUAGAAACUAUUGGCCUGGAAUGGUGGCUCUCGCCUGUAAUACCAGCAGUUUGGGAGGCCGAGACAGGUGGAUCACCUGAGGUCAAGAAUUCAAGACCAGCCUGGCCAUGAUGGUGAAACCCCCAUCUCUACAAAAAUACAAAAAUUAGCCAGGCAUGAAGGUGGGUGCCUGUAAUCCCAGCUACUUGAGAGGCUGAGGUGGAAGAAUCAUUCGAACCCGGGAAGGGGAGGUUGCAGUGAGCCGAGAUCGCCCCACUGCACUCCAGCCUGGGUGAUAGAGAGAAACUCCAUCUGAAAAAAAAAAAAAAAGAAACUAUUGACAAGGAUCUUUUUUUUGCAGAGGAAAGAGAGAUAAAGAAAUACCUACAUAAACACAUAUACAUAUACAACUUAUAUGUAUAAACACAAAUAUACAUCAUGGAUCUAGAUACUUUAUUGAUUCAUAUACUUAAUAACUUUCAACACUAAUAAAUUGGACACUUACGUAGCUGCAUUGAUAAACACACAAUGCAGAUCAUAGGUGGCUCUAUGCUCUCUGUGCCCUGUCAUGGUCUAUGCGAGAGUUUUUAGUCCUGGUGUCAUAUUGACAUUCAAGACAUUUAAGGUCCUGGAAUGUGAGCCACAUGAUGAGAUAAUUUGAGGAUGGACAGUUUGCAGAAGAGAAUACCCUUUGUUCAAAUAUCUAAACAGCUGUCAUGAACAAGAGCGAUUAGAUUCAUUUUGCUUGACCCAGGAGGUGCAAAACUGAGACUAAUGGAUGGGAGCUUCAGGGAGGGAGAAUGUUGCUCAGCCCAAGGAAGGAUUUCUGGCAAGAAAGGUCUAUGCCGCUAGAUCUUGUGCUCCUGGGAAUAGAAAGCUUUGGCUCCCUUCCAGCAUGGAAACUCAGACUAUAUGUCCAUUUACUAGGUAGUAUCAUAUUUCACAGGAUACUUCUGCUUUGAGUAAGAGAGGGUAUUACAGGACCACCAUGAUCUCUUUUAUGUAUACAUUUUAGUGGAAAUUGUAACAAGUCUAGUUAAAAUGACAUAUGCCUUGGAAAAAAAGUUUAUUUCUACUAAUGUUAAAACUACUAUGACUAUCACUGCCAAUGCUACUAUAAUUACUAUUAAUGGUCAUAUGAUAAAUAAUGUUUGCAGGGCAGCUACUGUAUACUAGGUACAUAUUCCCUCUGCUAGUUUGCAUUUUGCAUAUACCAUGUCAUUUAACCUGCACAGCAAUUCUGAGUGGUUGGUGUCAUCGAUCUCUUUUUGCAGUUUCAGGGAACUGAGGCUCUAGGAGGUGAAGCCAUCUACUCAUGGUUAGCCAGAUAGUAACACUCAGAUCUAUGUGUGUCUGGCCACAAAAUCAGUUCUCUUUCUGUUUUACAGAGCCAUAGGAAGAGAGGGUAGGAAGAGAGGAGAGGAGAGGAGAGGAGAUGAGAGGAGAGGACAUAUAAUAGAUAAUCCUAGGCUUAAGUCAGAUUUAUUUUGGGAAAAUAUGAGACUCAGUUACUGAAAUAUUCUAAUUUUUUAUAUAUCAAGCUAUACAUUACUGAUUAUAUAGUUUGCAAUUAUUGAUGACAGAUUCACUAGUUUGAUUCUUUCUUUGUUGAUCUCAUUCUUCCUGAGGUUGUUUCAUCCUUCAUAGGAAGAGCUACUACUUCACAAUUGCAUGAGAAGAGAUCAAUUUAUAUGUAUGGCUCAUACACAUCUCAAAAGGAGAAAUCAAGAGGGACUUAGACCUACCACUACUAUGAAGCCUUUACUGAAUUCGCUGGUUCCUGAGGUUUCUUCUCAAGCUUCUGUAGAAGCUAUCCUCUGCACCACAACAUCAGAUCCUGAAUCAUGUGCUAUCAAUACUACUGGAUUUUCUGUUUUUCUGUGCCUGCUUUUCUUUCCUGUGUAGGUGGACAGAAAUGCACAUGGGUUGCAGUAUCUAGGGAAAUGCCAACUGAGGGUUCUUCAGGCCUAUUACAGACUAACAUAACUUUGAAGAGCAUAGUGAAUUCCAAUAUCUAAUCUUCAUCUUUGCAAGACCAAGAAUUCACUCUUGUCUGAGUCCUAGAAAUGAUUAUUGAUUCGAACAUUAAUUAUAUUUUCCUAACGUUUGAGUCGUCUCAAUGUUAAGUGGAGACAAUCUGGACAAAACAGAAGCUUUCUGCUCCACCUACUUGUAAGGCAAUGAGGGCAAUCACUCAACAGAAUUCCUCCUAAGAGGAACCCUGAGAGUGUUUGGAAGAAAUAAAUACUAUGCAGAAUGGAUGGUGACCAUCAAGAAAAAACUUCAGCGGAAAAAGAUGGCUCCCAGAUUUCUUUCUCAAGGAAACCAGAGCUCCAGGAGAAUGUUUUGUUUGACUGAGUACUUUGCUGGGCCAGAAGAUGAAAAAUUGGGACCAGGCAUGGUGGCUCACUCCUGUAAUCCCAGCACUUUGGGAGGCUGAGGCAGGCGGAUCAUGAGGUCAGGAGAUCGAGACCAUCCUGGCUAACACGGUAAAACCGUGUUUCUACUAAAAAUACAAAAAAUUAGCCAGGCGUGGUGGCGGCGGGCACCUAUAGUCCCAGCUACUCAGGAGGCUGAGGCAGGAGAAUGGCGUGAACCUGGGAGGCAGAGCUUGCAGUGAGCAGAGAUCGCACCACUGCACUCCAGCCUGGGCGACAGAGUGAGACUACAUCUCAAAAAAUAAUAAUAAUAAAAUAAAAUUGGAAGUCAGAGUCAAGGUAGAGCUAAACUGUAUUAGGCCGUUACAGUGCACAACUCCAGGUGCCGUCACUGGCAUUAAAGCCAGGAAGCAAUUGUGGAAAAGGGGAAUGUCUAAUGGUACCUAUCUCUAUGAGGUAAUAUAAGAUCUCUAUUUUUCUGGCAUACGCUUUCAGUAAUUUUAUCAUGUUUGAUAAUUCUUUUGUGACACUGGAUUGAUUUUGGGUGAUAGAAUGUUAAAAAAGGGCUGAGUUAUGAAUCUGAGUUACCACAGGUGAACGCAGGUACUUUUCCUGCAGCUUACCAGCUGAAAGAAAAGAGAAUAUUUGGGUUUCAUAUGAUUAUGGGAUACUGAUGUCUAAUUUGGGGGGGUUGUUAAGAUACUUAAACAAAAAGAAAUUAUAAACUGUAUGGAAAUUGUAGAAGCUCGACGUGUGUUUACUAUCUUCUUACAGGAAAGCCGAGUGAUACGGACUACUCAUAAGAAACUAAACAAGAUCAUCAAGUUGGUAACAAUGAGGGGUGUGUGUGUGUGUGUGUGUGUGUGUGUGUGUGUGUGUGUGUGUUGGGAAUUGCAUGAAGAGAGCAUGGCAGUUUUGGGGGAAUCUCACAAACAAAGAAGGAGAGCUCAGCAGUAAUUCAGAUGGUCAAGGCUCUAAGCCUGAUGACCUCUGUAUUAUUCCUACAAUAGGUCUAGGCCUGUCACAGGAGAGAGGGCCAUAGAGCACGUCUAGCCUCUCCUUUC
rnacentral:lncRNA from 10 species